rnacentral:rRNA from 1 species
GGGGAAUAUUGCACAAUGGGCGCAAGCCUGAUGCAGCGACGCCGCGUGAGGGAUGGAGGCCUUCGGGUUGUAAACCUCUUUUAUCGGGGAGCAAGCGAGAGUGAGUUUACCCGUUGAAUAAGCACCGGCUAACUACGUGCCAGCAGCCGCGGUAAUACGUAGGGUGCAAGCGUUAUCCGGAAUUAUUGGGCGUAAAGGGCUCGUAGGCGGUUCGUCGCGUCCGGUGUGAAAGUCCAUCGCUUAACGGUGGAUCCGCGCCGGGUACGGGCGGGCUUGAGUGCGGUAGGGGAGACUGGAAUUCCCGGUGUAACGGUGGAAUGUGUAGAUAUCGGGAAGAACCCCAAUGGCGAAGGCAGGUCUCUGGGCCGUUACUGACGCUGAGGAGCGAAAGCGUGGGGAGCGAACAGGAUUAGAUACCCUGGUAGUCCACGCCGUAAACGGUGGAUGCUGGAUGUGGGGCCCGUUCCACGGGUUCCGUGUCGGAGCUAACGCGUUAAGCAUCCCGCCUGGGGAGUACGGCCGCAAGGCUAAAACUCAAAGAAAUUGACGGGGGCCCGCACAAGCGGCGGAGCAUGCGGAUUAAUUCGAUGCAACGCGAAGAACCUUACCUGGGCUUGACAUGUUCCCGACGGUCGUAGAGAUACGGCUUCCCUUCGGGGCGGGUUCACAGGUGGUGCAUGGUCGUCGUCAGCUCGUGUCGUGAGAUGUUGGGUUAAGUCCCGCAACGAGCGCAACCCUCGCCCCGUGUUGCCAGCGGAUUAUGCCGGGAACUCACGGGGGACCGCCGGGGUUAACUCGGAGGAAGGUGGGGAUGACGUCAGAUCAUCAUGCCCCUUACGUCCAGGGCUUCACGCAUGCUACAAUGGCCGGUACAACGGGAUGCGACGCGGCGACGCGGAGCGGAUCCCUGAAAACCGGUCUCAGUUCGGAUCGCAGUCUGCAACUCGACUGCGUGAAGGCGGAGUCGCUAGUAAUCGCGAAUCAGCAACGUCGCGGUGAAUGCGUUCCCG